CCAGUCAGACAGCCUCAGAGGAUGCAGAACAGCCUGGGAACAGAGAGGAGGCUCAAGACAAUGAAAACCGAUACCACGGGAGGAAGCACUUCUGAAGGAGAAAUGGAUUCAGUUCCAACAGGCUUGGAGACAUUUAGCAAAAUAUAAAUAAAAAGAUAAGACAACGUGCUAAGUAAUCAUUAUUGAGGACCUUGCUGAGAACAUAUGAUGCCAGGCUGAGGAACGUGGGGUAUACCUACCUGGCAGGGCACCUAGCGCAGCACACUCGGGGCUCUGGAUUUAUGCCCCGCACCAGAGAGGGUAAAGGGAAUAAGGACAGACUGAGAAGGAGAGCAAGAGAAUCCUGCUUUCCUGAGACUCUGAGAGGGAAGAGCGAGUCUGGGGUUGGAGAGAUGGCUCGGUGGCUAAGAACACAGACUGCUCUCCCGGAGGUCCUGAGUUCAAUUCCUAGCAACCACAUGGUGGCUCACAACCAUCUGUCAUGGGAUCCAAGACAAUGACAGUGCACAGUGUACUUACACAAAACAAAUCAAUAAAUAUUUUAAAAAU
rnacentral:lncRNA from 1 species